rnacentral:rRNA from 1 species
GGGUUGUGAGGUUAAGCGACUAAGCGUACACGGUGGAUGCCCUGGCAGUCAGAGGCGAUGAAGGACGUGCUAAUCUGCGAAAAGCGCCGGCGAGGUGAUAUGAACCCUUGACCCGGCGAUGUCCGAAUGGGGAAACCCAGUGCAAUCCGUUGCACUAUCGUUAACUGAAUACAUAGGUUAACGAGGCGAACCGGGGGAACUGAAACAUCUAAGUACCCCGAGGAAAAGAAAUCAACCGAGAUUCCCCCAGUAGCGGCGAGCGAACGGGGAGCAGCCCGGAGUCUGAAUCAGCUUGUGUGUUAGUGGAACGGUCUGGAAAGUCCGACGGUACAGGGUGAUAGUCCCGUACACGAAAGCACACAUGCUGUGAACUCGAAGAGUAGGGCGGGACACGUGGUAUCCUGUCUGAAUAUGGGGGGACCAUCCUCCAAGGCUAAAUACUCCUGACUGACCGAUAGUGAACCAGUACCGUGAGGGAAAGGCGAAAAGAACCCCGGCGAGGGGAGUGAAAAAGAACCUGAAACCGUGUACGUACAAGCAGUGGGAGCCUCUUUUAUGGGGUGACUGCGUACCUUUUGUAUAAUGGGUCAGCGACUUAUAUUCUGUAGCAAGGUUAACCGUAUAGGGGAGCCGAAGGGAAACCGAGUCUUAACUGGGCGUUAAGUUGCAGGGUAUAGACCCGAAACCCGGUGAUCUAGCCAUGGGCAGGUUGAAGGUUGGGUAACACUAACUGGAGGACCGAACCGACUAAUGUUGAAAAAUUAGCGGAUGACCUGUGGCUGGGGGUGAAAGGCCAAUCAAACCGGGAGAUAGCUGGUUCUCCCCGAAAGCUAUUUAGGUAGCGCCUCGUGAACUCAUCUUCGGGGGUAGAGCACUGUUUCGGCUAGGGGCCAUCCCGGCUUACCAACCCGAUGCAAACUACGAAUACCGAAGAAUGUUAUCACGGGAGACACACGGCGGGUGCUAACGUCCGUCGUGAAGAGGGAAACAACCCAGACCGCCAGCUAAGGUCCCAAAGUCAUGGUUAAGUGGGAAACGAUGUGGGAAGGCACAGACAGCCAGGAUGUUGGCUUAGAAGCAGCCAUCAUUUAAAGAAAGCGUAAUAGCUCACUGGUCGAGUCGGCCUGCGCGGAAGAUGUAACGGGGCUAAACCAUGCACCGAAGCUGCGGCAGCGACACUAUGUGUUGUUGGGUAGGGGAGCGUUCUGUAAGCCGUUGAAGGUGUGCUGUGAGGCAUGCUGGAGGUAUCAGAAGUGCGAAUGCUGACAUAAGUAACGAUAAAGCGGGUGAAAAGCCCGCUCGCCGGAAGACCAAGGGUUCCUGUCCAACGUUAAUCGGGGCAGGGUGAGUCGACCCCUAAGGCGAGGCCGAAAGGCGUAGUCGAUGGGAAACAGGUUAAUAUUCCUGUACUUGGUGUUACUGCGAAGGGGGGACGGAGAAGGCUAUGUCAGCCGGGCGACGGUUGUCCCGGUUUAAGCAUGUAGGCGGAGGUUCCAGGUAAAUCCGGUACCUUGUUAACGCUGAGGUGUGAUGACGAGGCACUACGGUGCUGAAGUGAUAAAUGCCCUGCUUCCAGGAAAAGCCUCUAAGCAUCAGGUAACACGAAAUCGUACCCCAAACCGACACAGGUGGUCAGGUAGAGAAUACCAAGGCGCUUGAGAGAACUCGGGUGAAGGAACUAGGCAAAAUGGUGCCGUAACUUCGGGAGAAGGCACGCUGAUAUGUAGGUGAAGCCCCUGCGGGCGGAGCUGAAAUCAGUCGAAGAUACCAGCUGGCUGCAACUGUUUAUUAAAAACACAGCACUGUGCAAACACGAAAGUGGACGUAUACGGUGUGACGCCUGCCCGGUGCCGGAAGGUUAAUUGAUGGGGUUAGCGGCAACGCGAAGCUCUUGAUCGAAGCCCCGGUAAACGGCGGCCGUAACUAUAACGGUCCUAAGGUAGCGAAAUUCCUUGUCGGGUAAGUUCCGACCUGCACGAAUGGCGUAAUGAUGGCCAGGCUGUCUCCACCCGAGACUCAGUGAAAUUGAACUCGCUGUGAAGAUGCAGUGUACCCGCGGCAAGACGGAAAGACCCCGUGAACCUUUACUAUAGCUUGACACUGAACACUGGUCCUUGAUGUGUAGGAUAGGUGGGAGGCUUUGAAGCGUGGACGCCAGUCUGCGUGGAGCCGACCUUGAAAUACCACCCUUUAAUGGCUGGUGUUCUAACGUGGACCCGUAAUCCGGGUUGCGGACAGUGUCUGGUGGGUAGUUUGACUGGGGCGGUCUCCUCCCAAAGAGUAACGGAGGAGCACGAAGGUUGGCUAAUCCUGGUCGGACAUCAGGAGGUUAGUGCAAUGGCAUAAGCCAGCUUGACUGCGAGCGUGACGGCGCGAGCAGGUGCGAAAGCAGGUCAUAGUGAUCCGGUGGUUCUGAAUGGAAGGGCCAUCGCUCAACGGAUAAAAGGUACUCCGGGGAUAACAGGCUGAUACCGCCCAAGAGUUCAUAUCGACGGCGGUGUUUGGCACCUCGAUGUCGGCUCAUCACAUCCUGGGGCUGAAGUAGGUCCCAAGGGUAUGGCUGUUCGCCAUUUAAAGUGGUACGCGAGCUGGGUUUAGAACGUCGUGAGACAGUUCGGUCCCUAUCUGCCGUGGGCGCUGGAGAAUUGAGGGGGGCUGCUCCUAGUACGAGAGGACCGGAGUGGACGCAUCACUGGUGUUCGGGUUGUCAUGCCAAUGGCAUUGCCCGGUAGCUAAAUGCGGAAGAGAUAAGUGCUGAAAGCAUCUAAGCACGAAACUUGCCCCGAGAUGAGUUCUCCCUGAGACUUUAAGUCUCCUGAAGGAACGUUGAAGACGACGACGUUGAUAGGUCGGGUGUGUAAGCGCAGCGAUGCGUUGAGCUAACCGAUACUAAUGAACCGUGAGGCUUAACCUUACAACGCCGAAGGUGUUU